rnacentral:rRNA from 1 species
ACUCAAAGGAAUUGACGGGGGCCCGCACAAGCGGCGGAGCAUGUUGCUUAAUUCGACGCAACGCGAAGAACCUUACCAAGGCUUGACAUCGCCUGGGAGGCUUCAGAGAUGGGGCUGUCCUUUGGACUGGGUGACAGGUGGUGCAUGGCUGUCGUCAGCUCGUGUCGUGAGAUGUUGGGUUAAGUCCCGCAACGAGCGCAACCCUUGUUCCAUGUUGCCAGCGGCGCUCUUCGGGGCGGCCGGGGACUCAUGGGAGACUGCCGGGGUCAACUCGGAGGAAGGUGGGGAUGACGUCAAGUCAUCAUGCCCCUUAUGUCUUGGGCUGCAAACAUGCUACAAUGGCUGGUACAGAGGGUUGCGAUGCCGUGAGGUGGAGCGAAUCCCUAAAAGCCGGUCUCAGUUCGGAUUGGGGUCUGCAACUCGACCCCAUGAAGUCGGAGUCGCUAGUAAUCGCAGAUCAGCAAUGCUGCGGUGAAUACGUUCCCGGGCCUUGCACACACCGCCCGU